rnacentral:rRNA from 1 species
GUGGGGAAUCUUGCGCAAUGGGCGAAAGCCUGACGCAGCCAUGCCGCGUGGAUGAUGAAGGUCUUAGGAUUGUAAAAUCCUUUCACCGGUGAAGAUAAUGACUGUAGCCGGAGAAGAAGCCCCGGCUAACUUCGUGCCAGCAGCCGCGGUAAUACGAAGGGGGCUAGCGUUGCUCGGAUUUACUGGGCGUGAAGGUCGCGUAGGCGGACAUUUAAGUCAGGGGUGAAAGCCCGGGGAUCAACCUCGGAACUGCCUUUGAUACUGGGUGUCUUGAGUAUGAGAGAGGUGGGGGGAACUCCGAGUGUAGAGGUGAAAUUCGUAGAUAUUCGGAAGAACACCAGUGGCGAAGGCGACACACUGGCUCAUUACUGACGCUGAGGCGCGAAAGCGUGGGGAGCAAACAGGAUUAGAUACCCGGGUAGUCC